rnacentral:rRNA from 1 species
GACGAACGCUGGCGGCGUGCUUAACACAUGCAAGUCGAACGGUAAGGCCCUUCGGGGUACACGAGUGGCGAACGGGUGAGUAACACGUGGGUGAUCUGCCCUGCACUUCGGGAUAAGCCUGGGAAACUGGGUCUAAUACCGGAUAGGACCCUGGGAUGCAUGUCCUGGGGUGGAAAGCUUUUGCGGUGUGGGAUGGGCCCGCGGCCGAUCAGCUUGUGGGUGGGGAGAUGGCCUACCAAGGCGACGACGGGUAGCCGGCCUGAGAGGGUGACCGGCCACACUGGGACUGAGAUACGGCCCAGACUCCUACGGGAGGCAGCAGUGGGGAAUAUUGCACAAUGGGCGCAAGCCUGAUGCAGCGACGCCGCGUGAGGGAUGACGGCCUUCGGGUUGUAAACCUCUUUCAGCACCGACGAAGCGCAAGUGACGGUAGGUGCAGAAGAAGGACCGGCCAACUACGUGCCAGCAGCCGCCGUAA